UACGGGGGGGGCAAGCGUUGUUCGGAAUUACUGGGCGUAAAGGGUCUGUAGGCGGAUUGUUAAGUCAGGGGUGAAAUCCUGGAGCUCAACUCCAGAACUGCCUUUGAUACUGGCGAUCUUGAGUCCGGGAGAGGUGAGUGGAACUGCGAGUGUAGAGGUGAAAUUCGUAGAUAUUCGCAAGAACACCAGUGGCGAAGGCGGCUCACUGGCCCGGUACUGACGCUAAGACGCGAAAGUUAGGGGAGCAAACAGG
rnacentral:rRNA from 1 species